GGAGUGAGGACGGGACUGUGACUCUGCAGUGGCCGGUGUUUCACCUGUCUGCAAACCUGAUAGCCACGCACCACCUCAAGCCCCGCAGGGAGUCCCUGCCAGGUAUGGUAGGCGGGGGGAUUAAACCUUUCCUGGCUUCACGGACAGGGCAAACAGGGCCACCGCCUCCGUUCUCAUAGGCAAACCUCCCCGUGGCAGGAGUCCAUGCAAACAUGGGGCCGUUCUGGCUGAUGGCCACAAGAAGCAGUUCUAGGAAAGCACUGCGGAAAACCAACCGUAUCAUCAACUGCGUCCCUCGCAUUUUUCAGCCCAUAGGAAGGUGGAGCCGCUGAAAUACAGCAAGGUGGCUGCAACUGCCUCUGUGACCUGGCAGAGAGCAAAGAUGUGCAUCCAAAGCACCGUGUCCCUGAUCUCCGGCUGCCUGAAGAAUGGCGAGAACGUUGCCGUUGUCCUCAAGGACAUUGGAGUGCUCCACAUUGAUGGCCUGACCUUUCAAAUGAAAUUCUACCGCGACUUCCUCGAGAAGCUGUCAGGCAAAGAGAAAUUCAGAAGAGCUCUUCUCAAGGUGAGCUGUAGGUUUCUGCGUGGCCCGGGCAGUCCCGUGACCCUUGCUGUGCCCGCGCACGGCCCACAAGGACCUGGCCAGCUGCUCGGGCCGUGCAAGUGCUGCGGGGCCGUCAGCUCUCCCUGCCUUGGGCUCCUUGUGUCCCCAGGGCCUCAGCCGUCACAAGGAUGUUUCACAUCCUCCCUGUUCCUCCCCUGCAGGCCCCCUGGCUGCUGGACAUGGUGGCGUCCCGAGCGGCACCAGUGGCCUCCCUGGCGCUCUCUGGCUGCCUUGUCGUCUUUCCCGAUCUGCUGCCAGCGAUCUGCGCAGUGCCUGAAGCCCAAAAGCAGCUGCUGACCUGCCAGCUGCAGGGCCAGGAAGGAAGCAAAGGCCAAGAAGACCGGGGCCGAGCGCUGGGAACAAAACGCGUGAGCUUCCGUGAGGAAGACCUGGAAGCGGAAACGUUCCAAGGCCAAGAAUCCAGGCUACCACUGCUGCACUGCGACUCAGUGCAACUUCUCAGGCAGAGGGCUAAGAAGAGCAGGCCAGUGCACAAAGAACCUGAGGAGGUGGCUGCAGCAGCAUCUCAGAGUGAGGCCAGCCAGCCUGCAGAGUCCUCCGCCGACAGAGCGGGAGUGCUGCCACCGAUAAACCAAGUAACACAGUCUCCGCAGCGUCAGCCUCCAAACACCAAUGCCCCACCCCGCAGGAAGGCCACCCACUACCCACGCUGAUGCGGGCAUGGGGCGCCCAGGACUGAUAGAGCUCCACUCGAGGCUGCAAAACUGAUGCGUCAAUCCCAUCUGCAUCAUACCUAACAGUAGACCAGGCUGCCCAUGGCCCCAAACAACCUGGCCUUGAACACUGUCAGGGACGCGGCGCCCACGAGCUCUCUGGGCAUCCGUUUCCAGCAUCUCACCACUGGCUCUGGAAAGAACUUCUCCCUGACAUCCAAUCUGAAGGAUCCCGCAACUGAAAACCACUUCCCCUCAUCCUGCCUCGUCUACCACUGUAAAGGGUCGACGGUCCUCCCGUUUGGAGGCUCCGUUUGUAUACUGGAAGGCUGCAGUGUGCUGACCCAACAGCCUCCUCUUCUCCAGGCCCAACAACGAGAUCUGGAGUGAAAUGUAGAGGGGAAAAAUUGACAAUAAAGCCUUACCAUGGGCCUAUCCUGUAGAAAUCUCCAGAAUCCCUGUGACAGUGUCAUUGCGUCUUUUCACACCAGCUCUUGUGCUGGUGGUGGGAGAAAGAAUUGUGGGAGGGCAUCAGAACAUCUCACAGUGCUUUACUUGAAGCCAAAGGAAAUCCAGCAUCACGGUUGUCUUGUCUGUCAGAGCUUUUCUGCUGCAGGGGAUGACCAAAAAUGAAGCCAGCUUCCAAUUGCGGCAGCUCGGAGCUCUCAGAGGAUACCAGCGGUCUCUGGAGGCCCUUUCCAACUGGAAGAUUGCGGCCUAUAAAGAAUCACAGAAUCAUAGAAUGGCGUGGGUUGAAAAGGACCACAAUGACCAUCUAGUUUCCACCUCCCUCUGCUAUGUGCAGGGUCGACAACCACUAGACCAAAGUGCCCUGUGCCACAUGCAGCCUGGCCUUGAAUGCCUCCAGGGCUGGGGCAUCCACAACCUCCAGGGGCAACCUGUUCCAGUGCCUCACCACCCUCUGGGAGAAAAAACUUCCUCCAAAUAUCUCACCUAGACCUCCCCUGUCUCAGUUUAAGACCAUUCCCGCAUGUCCUAUCACUACCCCCCCUCGUUACACUCGUACCCCCGCCUCUUUAUACGCUCCCUUCAACUAUUGAAAGGCCACAGUGAGGCCUCCUUAGAGCCUUCUCUUCUCGAAGCUAAGCAAUCCCAGUUCCCUCAUUCUUUCUUCGUAGGAGAGGUGCUCCAGCCCUCUGAUCUUCUUAGUGGCUGUAUGGGAACUGUUGAGUCCCAUCCUGAACUGCUGGUUGAUUACCUGGGGAAAAGACCCAGUCAGCCGUGGGAGGACAGGUGAAGGCAAUUCAGCUGUGUGACCACAACGGGUGGAGCCUGGCUGCGCUUCUCUCAGGCCCCAGUUAAUGUCUGAAUGCCACAGGGGAAGGAUCUCUUUCUUGAGGUCCCUCAUGAAAAUCCCUGGGGGCUACAGGGCGGAUAUAGGGGAAUAUGCGGCUAUCAUGAGGGAUGCGGGCUAAUGGGGGCCUUUAGGGCUGUGCGGGUUUGAUGGGAGGAUCCGGGGCUCUAGGGGGCUGUGGUGAGGCUAUAAGGAGGCUGUGGGUGCCAUGGGAGCACCUAGGAAGAUAUGUGAGUGUAGGGCGGGUCUAGGGGGCUCUGGGUUUAUAGGAAGGGAGGUGUGGGGAGGCUUGAGGGAGGAUGUGGGGCUCUAGAAAGCUGUGUGGCACUAAGGAAGGGGUCUAAGUUGGCUGUGGGGGGGGUGUUUGGGAAGUGCUGUUGAAUCAUGUCCUGAAGCUCUGAUUGCCCACCUGAGGCCAGCCCUGAGUGAGCCGUGGGAGCCCAGGUGAAGGCAAUCCAGCUGUGUGAGUGGAAGGGCUGGAGCCAGGCUGCAGCUCUCCUAGAGCCUGCUGAAGGGCUGACUGCCCCUGGGGAAGGAUCUCUAUCUGGAGAUGGCUCCUCUGGGAGCUCGGGACAUGGGUGAGCAUUUUCAUUCAUUUCCAGCUCUCCCUUUCCAACGUGAUCAUCUUUCUAGCUGUGCGACCUGUGGGCACCGGCGUAAGCGCAGCGCUGUGUAUCUCUGUUGCUCAUCCAGGGGGAUAUAGGAGACUGGGGCUGUUUGGUUCUAGUGGGGACAGAAUCCUAGAAUAUGUCAAUCUCUCCUCGUUUGGUUUCUGUUAGGACGGGGGGAAGGGGAGCGGCGUGAAGCUGCGUGCAUUCCCUGCUGCGGGGCUGUGCUGGCAGCGGUGCGGUUGGUUUGUUUUUUUCUGCUUGGGAGGGUGGGAAGGAGCUCAGCAGGCCUGGCUCGGGGCCUGCUGGCCCUAAGGAGGCCCCUCUGGGCCCGGCCCCUCAUGCUUUGGUCAGGUUGGCAAUGGCAGUGUGUAUCUGUGUGGGGAGAGGAGUGUGUGUAGCGAUGGUGGUACUUAGGAGGAAGACACAGUUUGUGUUUUUCACUGUUGUAUGGGGACACUCAGGUGAGAAAGCGUUGUGCUUUAUGGCACAGUUUCCUUGGGCAAAGGCUGCUUUGGCAGCAGAGGUUUGCUGCCAGGAGGCAUGAAAGCACUGAAGCAAAUGCUGCCGUGCAGUGGGCCCAGAGACAUCAGCUCCCAGCACGUCCCUGGCGGUGGAUGUGUGCACGCUCUGUGUCUGUCAGUGAUUGCUCCAAAGGCUUUGUAGUCAGCUGUGCGUGGCUGUUUUCUUUUUAGGGCAUGGGAACAGAACAGAAAGUUCUGAAAGUGUUCCUGAAUGUUCUUAAAUCGUAUAAUAGAAUACAAGCAGUGCAAAUAAAGAAAGAUAGAAAAAGAACAACAACCACUGUGUGUCCAGAACAGAACCCUGCUUUAAUAGAGACUAAAGGUGAUUGACAUUCCUUUUUCUUCUUCUCUCCAAGACUGAGUGUGUUCUCACCUUCUCUCUCUGCUCUCCUGCUCUCUGCACAUGCCUUCCCACUUCUAACAUCUUCAGUUCUUCUGUUGAACUGCUGUCUUCUUCAUUUCUCUUCCUCUCUACCUUUGGAAUCCCUUCCCUGAUACCCCUUCCCUCCCUUCUCUCUUCUGUCUUUUCUGACUUCUCCUCUCUGCUGUCUUCCUCUCCUCUACUUGAUGUUUUUUUUUUUUUUCCCAUCCUCUUCUCUCUCUUUUCUCUGCACCAUUUCUCCUUAUCCUUCUCCUGCACUUCUGUCUCUGCUGUUCCCUGCUCUCAGUCCUCUGCCCGUUAUUCCCCUUGUCCCAUUCUCCUCCUCCCUCUUCUCCCCUUUGCUGCUGUUGCUGUGGCAGCUCAUCUACUCUUGUGUUCUUCUCCUGGACAGGCAAGGCAAGGCAAGGCAACGCAAGAAAACGCAAUGAAAUGUCCGGGAAGCCAAGGCCAGCCAAGGCAAGUCACGACAAGGCAAGGCCAGGCAAUGACAGGCAAGUGAAGGCAAGGACAGGACAGGCCAAGCCCAGCAGGGCAAGGCCUCGAAUGGCCUCGGAUGUCAAGGCAAUGCAAGGCUAAACAAGGCAAGGCAAGGAAAUGAAAGGCAAGGCCAGUUCAAACAAGGAAAUGCAAUGCAAGGCCCGGCGAGGCCAGGACAGGGAAGGCUAGACAAGGAAAUGCAAGGCCAGGCAGGGCAAGGCCAGGCAAGGCCAGGCUUGCCCAGGCAAGCAAAUGCAAUACAAUGCAAGGCCAGGAUAGGUAAGGCAAAGCAAGGAAAUGCAAGGCCAUGCAAGGCAAGUCACGACAAGACAAGGCUGUGUGAUGACAGUCAAGGGAGGACAAGGCAAUGACAGGCAAGGCGAGGCAAGGCCAGGCCAGGCCAAGCCCAGCAAGGCAAGGCCAGAAAUGGCCUCGGAAGUCAAGGCAAAGGAAGGCCCAGUAAGGGAAGGCCCGGCAAAGCAAGGCAAGGCAAGGAAAUGCAUGGCCAGUUAGGGCAAGGCGAGGCAUAGAAGGCCUGUUGUGGCAAAGCCACGCAUGAAAGGCAAGGAAAGGCCAUGCCAGGCAAGGCAAGGGCAUGCUAGACAAGGCAAGGGAAGGCAAGGCAUAGCAAGGCAAGGCAAGGGAAGGGAAGUCAAGGCAAUCCCAGGCCAGGCCAAGC
rnacentral:lncRNA from 7 species